ACCAGUGGCUAUAUCACCCUGCAGCUCACUACUGAAGCCCAGCAGGUGUGAGCCUGGUCAGUACCUGGAUGGGAGACCUCCUGGGAAAGCUAAGGCUGCAGCUGGAA
rnacentral:rRNA from 1 species